ensembl:lncRNA
CCCCGGUGACCCCCUGACCCCCGGUGACCCCCAGGCCGGCUGCUGCUGCCCCCCAAGAACGUGGAGGCGUUUUUCCUGUCCCCGCGCGGCUCCGCGGGGCUGCAGCGGCAGCAGGUGCUGCUCAAGCUGGGGGACCAGCGGGGUCCGUGCGAGGCCGACGCUCUCCGUGCCGGCCCCUACGCCAACGUCACCUCCCUGGAGGACAUCGUCACCCCCCGCUUCCUGUGCUCGGGGGGGCACGAGCCCCGCGUGGACCCCAUCGCCUGCCCGGGUGACUCUGGUGGCCCCGUCGUCGUCACCUGGGGACAGCGACACUUCCAGGUGGGCGUGGUCAGCUGGGGCGUGGUCCCCGCGUGCCGCGAGCGCCGCGCGCCGUCCCACGCCCGCGACUUCCACGUCAGCGUCUUCGAGGUGCUGCCCUGGCUGCGGGAGCGGCUGCGCGACGAGGAGCUGGGCUUCCUGCCCUGAGCCACCUGGGCACACCU